UACCGAGGUCCCAAGCGUUGUUCGGAUUCACUGGGCGUAAAGGGUGCGUAGGCGGUCGGGUAAGUCUGAUGUGAAAUCUCACAGCUUAACUGUGAAACUGCAUUGGAUACUAUCCGGCUCGAGGAAUGGAGGGGAGACUGGAAUACUUGGUGUAGCAGUGAAAUGCGUAGAUAUCAAGUGGAACACCAGUGGCGAAGGCGAGUCUCUGGACAUUUCCUGACGCUGAGGCACGAAAGCGAGGGGAGCAAACGGG
rnacentral:rRNA from 1 species